rnacentral:rRNA from 1 species
AUUGAACGCUGGCGGCAUGCUUUACACAUGCAAGUCGAACGGUAACAGGCCGCAAGGUGCUGACGAGUGGCGAACGGGUGAGUAAUGCAUCGGAACGUGCCCAGUCGUGGGGGAUAACUACUCGAAAGAGUAGCUAAUACCGCAUACGAUCUAUGGAUGAAAGCGGGGGACCGUAAGGCCUCGCGCGAUUGGAGCGGCCGAUGUCAGAUUAGGUAGUUGGUGGGGUAAAGGCUCACCAAGCCAACGAUCUGUAGCUGGUCUGAGAGGACGACCAGCCACACUGGGACUGAGACACGGCCCAGACUCCUACGGGAGGCAGCAGUGGGGAAUUUUGGACAAUGGGCGCAAGCCUGAUCCAGCAAUGCCGCGUGCAGGAAGAAGGCCUUCAGGUUGUAAACUGCUUUUGUACGGAACGAAACGGCUCUGGUUAAUACCCGGGGCUAAUGACGGUACCGUAAGAAUAAGCACCGGCUAACUACGUG